CUAGAGGAGCCUGUUCUAUAAUCGAUAAACCCCGAUAAACCUCACCAAUCCUUGCUAAUACAGUCUAUAUACCGCCAUCUUCAGCAAACCCUAAAAAAGGGACAAAAGUAAGCUCAAUAAUAACACAUAAAGACGUUAGGUCAAGGUGUAACCUAUGGAGUGGGAAGAAAUGGGCUACAUUUUCUACCCAAGAAAAUUUAAUACGAAAGCCAUUAUGAAAUUAAUAGCCAAAGGAGGAUUUAGCAGUAAACUAAGAAUAGAGUGCUUAGUUGAAUCAGGCCAUGAAGCACGCACACACCGCCCGUCACCCUCCUCAAGUAAAUAUGAUAUACUUAAACCUAUUUACAUAUAUCAACCACACGAGAGGAGACAAGUCGUAACAAGGUAAGCAUACUGGA
rnacentral:rRNA from 1 species